CCACUUUCACAUCCCCCGGGUUUUUUGCAAAAGUCUUUUAUUUAUAUUUACAGUAAAUUCACGAUGUUCUGACUUCUGAAUCGUUUUACUGUUUUCGAGAUUUAUUUUUCUGCCUUUGACAAUUUGUUCGUCGACUUACAAGUCGCAUUGUGUUAUUCUCGCUCCAUGAAAGACAAUAAACAAACAUUAAUACCUCGCAAGAUAUGGGCGAAGACGAUAUUUGAUUCAAGCGGAGCCUGCCUGGGGUUCUUAUAUCUUUAUUAAACAG